UUUUCUCAAGGAAGAAGAUCUGACGGUACUUGAGGAAUAAGCCACGGCUAAUUCCGUGCCAGCAGCCGCGGUAAUACGGGAGUGGCAAGCGUUAUCCGGAAUUAUUGGGCGUAAAGCGUCCGCAGGCGGCUUUGUAAGUCUGCUGUCAAAGCGUGGAGCUUAACUCCAUUUCGGCAGUGGAAACUACGAGGCUUGAGUGUGGUAGGGGCAGAGGGAAUUCCCGGUGUAGCGGUGAAAUGCGUAGAUAUCGGGAAGAACACCAGUGGCGAAGGCGCUCUGCUGGGCCAUAACUGACGCUCAUGGACGAAAGCCAGGGGAGCGAAAGGGAUUAGAUACCCCUGUAGUCCUGGCCGUAAACGAUGAACACUAGGUGUCGGGGGAAUCGACCCCCUCGGUGUCGUAGCCAACGCGUUAAGUGUUCCGCCUGGGGAGUACGCACGCAAGUGUGAAACUCAAAGGAAUUGACGGGGGCCCGCACAAGCGGUGGAGUAUGUGGUUUAAUUCGAUGCAACGCGAAGAACCUUACCAGGGUUUGACAUCCUGCGAAUCCCUUGGAAACUUGGGAGUGCCUUCGGGAGCGCAGAGACAGGUGGUGCAUGGCUGUCGUCAGCUCGUGUCGUGAGAUGUUGGGUUAAGUCCCGCAACGAGCGCAACCCACGUCUUUAGUUGCCAGCAUUUAGUUGGGCACUCUAGAGAGACCGCCGGUGAUAAACCGGAGGAAGGUGUGGAUGACGUCAAGUCAUCAUGCCCCUUACAUCCUGGGCUACACACGUACUACAAUGCUACGGACAAAGGGCAGCAAACUCGCGAGAGCUAGCAAAUCCCAUAAACCGUGGCUCAGUUCAGAUCGUAGGCUGCAACUCGCCUACGUGAAGGAGGAAUCGCUAGUAAUCGCAGGUCAGCAUACUGCGGUGAAUACGUUCCCGGGCCUUGUACACACCGCCCGUCACACCAUGG
rnacentral:rRNA from 1 species